AGUGAACGCUGGCGGUAGGCCUAAUACAUGCAAGUCGAACGGCCGCACAGUAAGAGCUUGCUCUUACGGGUGGCGAGUGGCGGAUGGGUGAGGAAUACAUCGGAAUCUACUUUUUCGUGGGGGAUAACGUAGGGCCACUUACGCUACUACCGCAUAUGACCUACGGCUGAAAGCAGUGGUUCUUCGCACCUUGCGCGACUGUUAGAGCCGAUGCCGGAUUAGCUAGUUGGCGGGGUAAAGGCCCACCAAGGCAACGAUGCGUAGCUGAUCUGAGAGGAUGAUCAGCCACACUGGAACUGAGACACGGUCCAGACUCCUACGGGAGGCAGCAGUGGGGAAUAUUGGGCAAUGGGCGCAAGCCUGAUCCAGCCAUACCGCGUGAGUGAUGAAGGCCUUCGGAUUGUAAAGCCCUGUUAUUGGGAAAGAAAAACUGCGGAUGAAUACCCCGCUGUUCUGACGGUACCCAAAGAGUAAGCACCGGCUAACUUCGUG
rnacentral:rRNA from 1 species